UUUGAAGCGUGGACGCCAGUCUGCGUGGAGCCGACCUUGAAAUACCACCCUUUAAUGUUUGAUGUUCUAACGUGGACCCGUAAUCCGGGUUGCGGACAGUGUCUGGUGGGUAGUUUGACUGGGGCGGUCUCCUCCUAAAGAGUAACGGAGGAGCACGAAGGUUGGCUAAUCCUGGUCGGACAUCAGGAGGUUAGUGCAAUGGCAUAAGCCAGCUUGACUGCGAGCGUGACGGCGCGAGCAGGUGCGAAAGCAGGUCAUAGUGAUCCGGUGGUUCUGAAUGGAAGGGCCAUCGCUCAACGGAUAAAAGGUACUCCGGGGAUAACAGGCUGAUACCGCCCAAGAGUUCAUAUCGACGGCGGUGUUUGGCACCUCGAUGUCGGCUCAUCACAUCCUGGGGCUGAAGUAGGUCCCAAGGGUAUGGCUGUUCGCCAUUUAAAGUGGUACGCGAGCUGGGUUUAGAACGUCGUGAGACAGUUCGGUCCCUAUCUGCCGUGGGCGCUGGAAGACUGAGG
rnacentral:rRNA from 1 species